CUGGAUUACUGUGUUCAGUUCUGGGUGCCACAGUUUUCAGAAGGGCUUUGAUAAACUGGCUACACAUGGAAGUUUUAUAGAUCACUAUAUGGCUAGCGGGCCAUGUGUUUGACAUCUCCACUGUAAACGAUGUAAGAAAGUUCAAAGUACAAGAGGAGAGCUGCUAGUUGUAAGAGCCAUGAUGAUCUUGGAGCCAGGAAUCCAUGAAGGAUGUUACUGCCAGCCCAGCAGGGAAUUCCUGAGAAGCCAGGGUGCUGGAGUGCCCAGAUCCUAGAUUCCUGGCAGCCAAAUCUCUGGGGAAGAUGGCAGACAGUUCACUGGUAUAUCUGUCCAUACCUUGGGUGUCUUGGUGGAGUCCACAAUUGAGCUCCACUUCAGUACAUAAUUUCAAGAGUCAGAACUCUACAUUCAGUUGAUCCAACUGGAUUUAUUGAAAAUGUACAAGUUAUCCUAGUGGACAAAGGAUCCUGAUGAUUCAUGUGCUCUGACAGUUUCACCAUCAUGUGAGCUUCACUGAUAUUUCUGGUUUGAAGAGAUGAAGAAGCAGGAAGAUAGUGUUGCCCAGGACUGAAGACUAGAUCAAAGUAACUUCAGGCAGACAGUAUAUCAGCAUCACACCAAGAAACUGAAUCACUUCAAUCUGAGUUGUCUUAGGAAGAUUCUGAAGAUCUCCUGGCAAGAAAAGGUACCAGACACCGAGGUUCUUUCUCAAGCUGAACUGCCAAGCAUUCAAACUCUACUGCAGAGAGCACAACCCCAAUGAGCUGAC